AGAUCAUUUUCAGGAUAAUUCCUCAACAAACCUUUGUAUCGCUCCCAUGCCUCAUACAAUAACUCUCCCGCUUGUUGCUCGAAAUUUGCAAUAACCUUCCUCAACAU